rnacentral:rRNA from 1 species
AACGAACGCUGGCGGCAUGCCUAACACAUGCAAGUCGAACGAGACCUUCGGGUCUAGUGGUGCACGGGUGCGUAACGCGUGGGAACCUGCCCUUAGGUGCGGAAUAACUCCCCGAAAGGGGUGCUAAUACCGGAUAAUGUCUUCGGACCAAUGAUUUAUCGCCUUUGGAUGGGCCCGCGUUGGAUUAGCUAGUUGGUAGGGUAAAAGCCUACCAAGGCGACGAGCCAUAGCUGGUCUGAGAGGAUGAUCAGCCACACUGGGACUGAGACACGGCCCAGACUCCUACGGGAGGCAGCAGUGGGGAAUAUUGGACAAUGGGCGAAAGCCUGAUCCAGCAAUGCCGCGUGAGUGAUGAAGGCCUUAGGGUUGUAAAGCUCUUUUACCCGGGAUGAUAAUGACAGUACCGGGAGAAUAAGCUCCGGCUAACUCCGUG